AGAGUAGGACGAAUGGCCGCCCGGCACUCAACUUUAAGGGGGUAUGGGGGUAGGCGUGGUAUUUUCCUACACAGGUGAGGUAAGCAAGAUUUCCUGUCCCUUCUUAAAGUUGAGUGCCGGGAGGAAAGUCCGGGCUCCACAGGACAAGGUGCUGGGUAACGCCCAGUCCCGGUGACGGGAAGGAAAGUGCCACAGAAAGGAGACCGCCAGGCACUAAACUUUUGGAAAGUGCCACAUUUUGCCGUGAUUCUCUCCGAUUACGUAACUGGGGGAGGAAACGGCAAGAUCCUUCUGAGAGUUUAGUGUCUGGUAAGGGUGAAAGGGUGAGGUAAGAGCUCACCAGUCCCGCCGGUGACGGCGGGAGCUAGGCAAACCCCACCUGGAGCAAGACCAAAUAGGGGAGCGGUUGAGGGUGGUCCGCCCGAGCUCCCGGGUAGGUCGCUUGAGCCCAUCGGUAACGGUGGGCCUAGAUGAAUGGCCAUUGCCCGGCACUCAACUUUAACCAGGUAUCUGGGUGGCCUGUGGAAUUGUCCCACAUAGGUCAGAUCAGCGCAAUUUCCUGUCCCUUCUUAAAGUUGAGUGCCGGGAACAGAACCCGGCUUACGGACUGCUCUGAGA
rnacentral:RNase_P_RNA from 1 species